UACGGAGGGGGUUAGCGUUGUUCGGAAUUACUGGGUUUAAAGGGUCCGUAGGUGGAUAAUUAAGUCAGAGGUGAAAUCUUGCAGCUCAACUGUAAAAUUGCCUUUGAUACUGGUUAUCUUGAGUUAUUAUGAAGUAGUUAGAAUAUGUAGUGUAGCGGUGAAAUGCAUAGAUAUUACAUAGAAUACCAAUUGCGAAGGCA
rnacentral:rRNA from 1 species